GGGCCCGCACAAGCGGUGGAGCAUGUGGUUUAAUUCGAUGCAACGCGAAGAACCUUACCUACUCUUGACAUCCAGAGAACUUUCCAGAGAUGGAUUGGUGCCUUCGGGAACUCUGAGACAGGUGCUGCAUGGCUGUCGUCAGCUCGUGUUGUGAAUGUUGGUUAAGUCCGCAACGAGCGCAACCUUACUCCUUGUUUGCCAGCGAGUAAUGUCGGGAACUCCAGGGAGACUGCCGGUGAUAAACCGGAGGAAGGUGGGGACGACGUCAAGUCAUCAUGGCCCUUACGAGUAGGGCUACACACGUGCUACAAUGGCGCAUACAGAGGGCGGCCAACUUGCGAGAGUGAGCGAAUCCCAAAAAGUGCGUCGUAGUCCGGAUCGGAGUCUGCAACUCGACUCCGUGAAGUCGGAAUUGCUAGUAAUCG
rnacentral:rRNA from 1 species